rnacentral:misc_RNA from 1 species
CACAAAUUAAAAUAUGAAGGCUUCGGCUGGAUUAUUUUUAUCACCCUUGUCUUUUGCGCACUUGUUGUUUCCUGGGCGGGUUCGCCCGCCACCAGGACCACACCAUAAACCUUUUUUUAUGCAGUUGCAAUCAGCGUCAGCAUAACAAAUGUAAAUCAUUUA